CGUAGAAUUCAAAGCUAAAAAGGCCACGUAGAAAAGAGUGAGACAGGCUUUCGAUUUUCAAAUCUUUGAAAACGAUCGAUGGCACUGCUCAUAACCCUAAAAUCAAUGGAGUUUUACAGUGCUACUUGACCUGGAACUCGUAUAAGUACGGCAUGCAGCAGUACCGUCUAACAUCCAUGCUUCAAGGUCAAGGUCGAAUAUCGCAUCUAAUUUCAAUUUGAAUGAGUAGAAUACACACACACACAAACAGAGAACAGACAAGCUUCAAGGGUGUGAACCAUCAUCGGCACCAAGUACCACGGCAACACUUGCAAGCCAGAAAGGAAUAUCUGCAAACAUUUGCAAUGAUGAAGCUCAGUAAAGCUUUGCAACAAUUUGAAGAGGAUCAGGAGAAAGAAGUAGAGCAGAAGGCAGUUGUGUGUGAUUUAUAGUUCUGUCAGAUUCGACAGUUAAAAACUACUUGAACUUAGCAGCUGAAAUGCCUAUCAUUUCAAGCAUUUAGCAUUAAAAAUAUCUUUAGACCAGUUGUCUUCAAGUUCAUGUUUAUUCCACAAUGGCCAUUACAUAAUAUUUCGAGUUUGUGUUUGACAUUCUUGCAUAUAUGAAUACAAAAAUUCUAUGUUCUUUUGUGA